rnacentral:misc_RNA from 1 species
GAUGAAGAACGUAGCGAAAUGCGAUAAGUAAUGUGAAUUGCAGAACUCAGUGAAUCAUCGAAUCUUUGAACGCACAUUGCGCCCCUUGGUAUUCCAUGGGGCAUGCCUGUUCGAGCGUCAUUUGUACCUUCAAGCUCUGCUUGGUGUUGGGUGUUUGUCUCGCCUCUGCGUGUAGACUCGCCUCAAAACAAUUGGCAGCCGGCGUAUUGAUUUCGGAGCGCAGUACAUCUCGCGCUUUGCACUCAUAACGACGACGUCCAAAAGUACAUUUUUACACUCUUGACCUCGGAUCAGGUAGGGAUACCCGCUGAACUUAAGCAUAUCAAUAAGCGGAGGA